CACCUCUCAGGGUCAUUCCUGGAGAGUUUCCAGUACUCUACCAGUCUUGACUAUGGGAGGGAGAGUCAAGCAGAGGCCUGUCCUUUCCAUUCCUAGCUUGGGCAGUGGCUAGCAAGUGGAAGGCAAUCUAUUACAAGU
rnacentral:snoRNA from 1 species